rnacentral:rRNA from 1 species
GUGAGGAAUAUUGGUCAAUGGGCGAGAGCCUGGACCAGCCAAGUCGCGUGAAGGAAGACGGCCCUACGGGUUGUAAACUUCUUUUGCAAUGGAAUAAAAAGAGUUACGUGUAAUUCAUUGUAUGUACAUUGCGAAUAAGGAUCGGCUAACUCCGUGCCAGCAGCCGCGGUAAUACGGAGGAUCCGAGCGUUAUCCGGAUUUAUUGGGUUUAAAGGGUGCGUAGGCGGAUUGGAAAGUCAGCGGUGAAAGUUUGCAGCUUAACUGUAAAAUUGCCAUUGAAACUGUCAGUCUUGAGUGCAAAUGAGGUAGGCGGAAUGUGUUGUGUAGCGGUGAAAUGCAUAGAUAUAACACAGAACACCAAUUGCGAAGGCAGCUUACUGGGAUGCAACUGACGCUGAGGCACGAAAGCGUGGGGAUCAAACAGGAUUAGAUACCCUGGUAGUCC